rnacentral:lncRNA from 1 species
AAAACCCACAUCACCCAAGAGCAAUCAGAAUGCCAAAGUACAUUUUCCACUGACUGAUGUAACGUUCCAGGGAAAACCCAGGCACGUUGAAAAUUCCUUGAAUUUAUUCGUGCCCCUAGUCUUCUGAUCUUUAAAUCCCCGCCUUAACAGAGUCCCUCCGCUUACUCAAUGGUUGAAUGGGCAACGCAAGGCCUCGUCAAAUUUUAAAAAUGUAUAGUAACAUCACAGGAUGGUGAUUUCCAUGUUUGUUUGUUUUUUUACAGCAGCUGCUUCACUCUCUGAUAAUUCCGCUAUUUCAUGUGUAUUGCGUAUACAUUUUUAUAUUGAAGUCUUUUCCCUUUAACCAAUUGCGUUUUGGUUGUGUGACCUCCCGAAAGAAGCGACAACCGUGCACUGAACGCAGCUUUACAAUGGGAUCGUAAAUCACAAGACCAACGCUGUUUUUUUUUCUCUUUUUCUAGGGCUCUCUUUGCAUGUGUGUACGUGCCUCUUAAUGUUUUAUGCCGUCGCGUGUCUCGAGCGGAUUCUUCAUCAAACCGUCGUGACGGAACAACUGAAAAUUUGGACGAGCCAUCCAGUGCGGAUGGUACAUGCUGCGCCAAAUCUCGUUAAUUUUGCCUUUCUUUUUAUAUAUCCCUUUCCGACUAAUUUGUACGAUUUAUUGCUGCAAUGCUUUAAUGUGAAGAAAUUCAUUCUCUUUGCCUUAAUGUUUGCCCCAUAAAAUUGUUAAAUAUCUAGCGUGUUUUUUGUUCAUUGUUCGACGUCUAGUCGUAAGAGCGCGCACUGCCACUCCCACGCGCAACAGAACUCAUUUGCUUGUGUUCUUUUAAAUGGUUUUCUCUAGUCUCCUCCUCAUUUUGAAAUAUUCCAUCCACUUUCCACUAUUUUGCGUGUCUCGUCGUGUACAUGUUGUAGACGUAAAUAUUGUUGGAAUAAUGCGCGGUUAUGGAAAACAGGUGCGGUGCCGGUCGUUGCCGGCCUUGGUCUCGAAAAGAGUCGUCCGUUGCACGGCAACUUAUUUUUUUUUCCCAUUUUUUUUAGGGGAGAAGAAGAAAAGAAAAAGAAAAAUCCAAAUUCAGCCAGUUGAAACGUUGAAUCAGCUCAGCGUCGACUUGUAAAACGAGUUGACGCGCGUCGGAAGACGAGUUUCGACAUCCAACACGGCUGACUUAUUUGCCCGUGUUGGCUCUAUGCAAUGGCCCUGACGCCGAACGGAUCCGUGAGAGUAUUAGCACGGCACGCACGGCCGCUUCUUAUUGGCGUUCAUUCCGACUAUACACAAGCGCAAUACACAUAAAAAUGCUGCGGAUACGCGCCUACUCCGCCGACUGUUCCGCCAAGACAGGCAUAUAGAAGAUGGACCAGUUCUCUCCCGACACCUGCUCGCUUGAAGGAAAGGGAAAUCAACGUGUUGGACACACACACACACAAGCGUUACUCAUUUUUGGUGAAUCAUGAUCUUUUUUUUUUUUUUGCGGCUGGAGAAAACGGUAAACGUCAUGGAUACAGCGACCGUCCUUGCCUAAUGUGUUUCGACCUAGAAAUGGCUAAAAAAACAAGAAAUUCCACGCAAUUGAUGAGCCUUUACGAGCUUGAAUGUUUACGAUGGUAAGGGCUGAUGAUAUUCAACAGCAGCAAACGAACCGUUGUGAAAAUGUGGAUCUUUUAAACAUCGCGAUUUCCCUUGGCCUUCGCUUCCAUCGCUUAAUGCAUUCGUUUAGAUUUUACAUGAUGAUACAUCUUCUUCAGAUAUACACGUUUAUUUGAAAUUGA